GUAGUCCACGCCCUAAACGAUGUGCACUAGACUGGAGCGGCUCUGACGUCGUUCUGGUCGUAGAGAAAUUGUUAAGUGCACCGCCUGGGUAGUACGGUCGCAAGGCUAAAACUCAAAGGAAUUGACGGGGGCUCACACAAGCGGUGGAGCAUGUUGCUUAAUUCGAAGCAACGCGAAGAACCUUACCUGGGUUUGACAUGCACGGAUUAACCGGUGGAAACACUGGCCACACUCGCAAGAGUGGAACGUGCACAGGUGCUGCAUGGCUGUCGUCAGCUCGUGCUGUGAAGUGUCGGGUUAAG
rnacentral:rRNA from 1 species